GCUGGGAAUCCCUGGGUGUCUGUGAGGGCUCUGAUGCCUGUACUGACCUUUAUCCCUAUGUGGAUUCCUGAAGUUGAACAUUUCCUGUAGUUUGGAAGAUAUUUAUGAUUUUGGCAUCUUCAAAUGGAUCUCCCCACAACCCGUGAUAUGCG
rnacentral:lncRNA from 1 species